UUUAGCACAAUGGCAGGGAAGAGCGUCCGUUCAAAGAAAGGCAGACCCAUACAGAAGCCCACAGGAGGGGUCUCAUCACAGCAGCCUUCGGGUAGUACCCAGAAUAGGGCCCAGUGUGGACCAUUUGUGCAUGUGCUGGUUAUUAAAGGAUAUUGAAUAUACUUCCCUGUGCUAUACACUUGUGCUGGUCAGAUGGUUCCCUAAGCACUGACGACAGAAUUCUGGCUGUUCCCAUCUUGUGGUUUUUGCCAUCUUCACAACAACAACAAAGAUACCAAAUGGCCAAUAAACUCAUGAAAAAGUG